rnacentral:snRNA from 1 species
CAACUCUGGUUUCUCUUCAAUCACGCACAAGUUUUUCGCCUUUUACUAAAGACUUCCGUGGAGAGCACGCUUACGAGUUCAACGUAUUUUUGGACGGGCUUUGCUCCCGGCAGAGCC